rnacentral:rRNA from 1 species
CCAUCACUAGCCUCACACUGGGGGAUAACAGUCAGAAAUGGCUGCUAAUACCGCAUAAGCGCACAGCAUCGCAUGAUGCAGUGUGAAAAACUCCGGUGGUGUGAGAUGGACCCGCGUUGGAUUAGCUAGUUGGCAGGGCAGCGGCCUACCAAGGCGACGAUCCAUAGCCGGCCUGAGAGGGUGAACGGCCACAUUGGGACUGAGACACGGCCCAGACUCCUACGGGAGGCAGCAGUGGGGAAUAUUGCACAAUGGGGGAAACCCUGAUGCAGCGACGCCGCGUGAAGGAAGAAGUAUCUCGGUAUGUAAACUUCUAUCAGUAGGGAAGAUAAUGACGGUACCUAUAAAA